UACAGAGGGGGCGAGCGUUGUUCGGAAUUACUGGGCGUAAAGGGCGCGUAGGCGGCCUGCUAAGUCAUACGUGAAAUCCCUCGGCUCAACCGGGGAACUGCGUGUGAUACUGGCGGGCUUGAAUCCGGGAGAGGAAUGCGGAAUUCCAGGUGUAGCGGUGAAAUGCGUAGAUAUCGAGAGGAACACCGGUGGCGAAGGCGGCUUUCUGGACGGUGACUGACGCUGAGACGCGAAAGCGUGGGGAGCAAACAGG
rnacentral:rRNA from 1 species